GCAACCAAUGUUGGAGAUGCUACUGCUGGUUUUUCUUGUUUUGGCAAGGUCAAACUACGGAGAAAUGACGGGUCAAAGGUCAAGGUCAUUUUUAGCGGACCCUUUCGAUUCACAUAUAAAUUUUUAUCCCAAUACAAUUUUUAAUGCUGGUUAUUAUUCUGCGUAUUGUUAGGCUUGGCAGGUCUUAAAUUAUUUUAAAAUAUUUAAAUAAUUUAACCUUUAAUUCACCUAUCCCAACAUGGCUACCGUGCGAGCACCUAUCAAAACCUUGAUGAAAAUAACAAACCGAAAAUCUGAGAAACGCGAUUUGACCUUGGACGUGCCCCGUGCCAGUGCACUGGCCUUAGGGGUGCUGAAGAACUUGAUUUGGAUGCCGGCGGCGGCGACGACAGUGCGCCGGCGCACAUCUCUAUGGAGGUGGACACGGCGACCCGUGGGCGACCGCCGCUGCCGCGGUUUGCUACAGGUGGCCAUGGCCACUAAUCUGUUGGAGGAGGCGCCCCCGGCACAGGUCCCAACCGCCGGAGACGCGGCAGAGACCGGGCAGUGGGCUGGCUUCCAGUAGCGAUACGACGCGGUCGUGACAGCGUCUCAGUGCACAGGAGCUGCGGCUGUGGACGAUUGUUGAGAGACGGCGCGGGGCACCGAUAGAAGCUUGUCUGCUAGAGAUCAAAUCCUGUCUGCUGGUGGUAUAUAAUGCCGCGUAGCCCCGUGUCCGUGAUGAUCUUUUAAGGCCGAGCUAGCUACACUAAGCGUGACCGUCCAGGAAACUAGAAAGCACCCACGUGUACUGCGUGUUCGUGCUCACUGGAUUCCCUUGAUACCGGCUUCUACGAUUAUCCAUAUUUUCCUUGAGCUACCGUAUGCCCACGCAAGCGUGAUAACGAGCGAGUACCAUGCCGAUAAUACGAUAUGUAUGAACAAGAAUAUCUUGUGAUUGAAAUUGCACAGCCAUGCACUACCGAAGUUCAUCGCUGAAAUUGCAUCUAGACCUGUGUAAUUUCUUACUAGCAGUAAGAAGCUCGACAGUAGUUUCGGUAGCAGACAGUAUGUAGACUACUUGUGUCUUGUAGACAGUAGAGCUCGUCUUGACGGCGAAAUGUCAUUGUCCAAUUUUUCACUGUCCGGCGACCGCGGGAUGACAUUAACACUGUAUGUCACGCCGUGCACAUUAUGAGCUGACCUUUCCGUGACCUCUCACUGGUAGCCCGCUACAUAGCGCCAUGAGGGGUCGUUGUGUCUGUCGUUAGGCGUCCCGGCCGGUCCGCCGGUCUCCGGCUGUCUGGGUGACGAGCGGCGUCUGUGGCGACCCCGCUCAGGACGCACCAGCCGCUGGCUCUCCAGCAGACGGCGCACGACCUGGGUGUUGCCUGCUGCCAUUAUCCAUUAUCCAUUAGCAAUCCACAUGUGCCUUUGUCUGUUUUCGUUGUGAAUAAAUGUUUGCCUUGACAAGCGA